rnacentral:rRNA from 1 species
AACCAUAUAAUAAAAGGUAAUAAAAUAACCAAACCAAUACAUGAUGGUAGUCUUUACAAAUUAAAGAAGCUCGUCCCAUAAUCGUAAACACCCGAUAAUUUUCACUUAAUAUAAAGAGUUUAUAUACCGCCGUUAAGAUUCAACUACCCCAUUAUAUCACACCCUACUAACACUAAAUUUCAGGUAAAGGUGUAACCCAUUAUUAAGAAGAGAUAAGCUACAAGUAAACAGGAAAUUAAGAAAGAAAAACAAAAAUAUAUCGGAAAGAGAAUUUAUAUGUAAAUAACGAUUAAAAUUCAUUAUAGAAAUAAUAAAUAAAGAUGC